CUUACUGAUGACCUAUAGAGCAUGUAGGGAAAGAUCUAGGGGAAGGACUAAUCAAUAUUGAGCUUGAGCGACCAUCUCAACAAUAAAUCCAAAAGAGGCAGCAGCAUAUAUCAUGCUACACUGCACCUCAAGGGAGAUCGAAUCCCCAUGUUGAAUAGUAUCCCAGCAACAGCAAGAUCACCCACCCGUUCAAAGACCGACUAUCUUUCCUCGUGAAUGGCGACAAGCACCAGGAUCAACACCUACAGGAAAGAGUAGAUAUUCAGAAGCAUAACAACAACUUCAGCUUCAUAGCUCAACCCAUGGACCGCAAUUUGAAAUCAAAACAACUGUGUUUAUGGCUUCAAAGAUAUCUUCAAGCAAGACCCUUGAAAUGGAAGUGAACCAAGUAGUAGUAACGCUCCAACACCCCACCAACGCCAAACAAUUCCUAACCUAUUUAGUACUGGCCCAAAACCUAUUUUGUAAUUUUUUUCUCUAUUCAUUAUUUAUCAGUAAGAUGAAUUCUUCCCAAAAUCCAAUGAUUGAACUCUCUAGACUAUAAUCUUUUAACUUCCAGAUUACUUUAAAAAAUACGUACUUCUUUAGAUGAAUGUAAACGGAGAAGUUCGCACUUACUGUUUGCUGGUAUUGCAUAAAAUUCUGUUUUUUUAGUGGACACUUACAAGACGUGGAGCAUCAGACAAAAAAUGCCAAUGGUUAGUGGCAGCUUGAAAUAAAACAAGAAACAAACAUGGGGAUGAAGAUUUUAUUGUUGGUGCUUCAUACGAAUGAAACCAC
rnacentral:lncRNA from 1 species